GAUGAACGCUGGCGGCGUGCCUAAUACAUGCAAGUCGAGCGAACAGACGAGGAUCUUGCUCCUCUGACGUUAGCGGCGGACGGGUGAGUAACACGUGGAUAACCUACCUAUAAGACUGGGAUAACUUCGGGAAACCGGAGCUAAUACCGGAUAAUAUCUUGAACCGCAUGGUUCAAUAGUGAAAGACGGUUUUGCUGUCACUUAUAGAUGGAUCCGCGCCGCAUUAGCUAGUUGGUAAGGUAACGGCUUACCAAGGCAACGAUGCGUAGCCGACCUGAGAGGGUGAUCGGCCACACUGGAACUGAGACACGGUCCAGACUCCUACGGGAGGCAGCAGUAGGGAAUCUUCCGCAAUGGGCGAAAGCCUGACGGAGCAACGCCGCGUGAGUGAUGAAGGUCUUCGGAUCGUAAAACUCUGUUAUUAGGGAAGAACAAAUGUGUAAGUAACUAUGCACGUCUUGACGGUACCUAAUCAGAAAGCCACGGCUAACUACGUG
rnacentral:rRNA from 1 species